rnacentral:rRNA from 1 species
CCUACGGGUGACAGCAGUGAGGAAUAUUGGUCAAUGGACGAGAGUCUGAACCAGCCAAGUAGCGUGAAGGAUGACUGCCCUAUGGGUUGUAAACUUCUUUUAUAUGGGAAUAAAACGUUCCACGUGUGGGAUUUUGUAUGUACCAUAUGAAUAAGGAUCGGCUAACUCCGUGCCAGCAGCCGCGGUAAUACGGAGGAUCCGAGCGUUAUCCGGAUUUAUUGGGUUUAAAGGGAGCGUAGGUGGAUUGUUAAGUCAGUUGUGAAAGUUUGCGGCUCAACCGUAAAAUUGCAGUUGAAACUGGCAGUCUUGAGUACAGUAGAGGUGGGCGGAAUUCGUGGUGUAGCGGUGAAAUGCUGAGAUAUCACGAAGAACUCCGAUUGCGAAGGAAGUUCACUGGACUGCAACUGACACUGAGGCUCGAAAGUGUGGGUAUCAAACAGGAUUAGAUACCCGUGUAGUC